UUCCGUAGGGUGACCUGCGGAGGGAUCAUUACACAACAAAAUAUGAAGGUCUGGCUUCGCGGCCGGCUGAAAUAUUUUUUUCACCCAUGUCUUUUGCGCACUUGUUGUUUCCUGGGCGGGUUCGCCCGCCACCAGGACCAAACCAUAAACCUUUUUUUUUAUGCAGUUGCAAUCAGCGUCAGUAAAAACAAUGUAAUUAAUUACAACUUUCAACAACGGAUCUCUUGGUUCUGGCAUCGAUGAAGAACGCAGCGAAAUGCGAUACGUAGUGUGAAUUGCAGAAUUCAGUGAAUCAUCGAAUCUUUGAACGCACAUUGCGCCCUUUGGUAUUCCAAAGGGCAUGCCUGUUCGAGCGUCAUUUGUACCUUCAAGCUUUGCUUGGUGUUGGGCGUUUUUGUCUCCCUCUUUCUGGGAGACUCGCCUUAAAACGAUUGGCAGCCGGCCUACUGGUUUCGGAGCGCAGCACAUAAUUUGCGCUUUGUAUCAGGAGAAAAGGACGGUAAUCCAUCAAGACUCUACAUUUUUAACUUUUGACCUCGGAUCAGGUAGGGAUACCCGCUGAACUUAAGCAUAUCAAUAAGCGGAGGAA
rnacentral:rRNA from 1 species